UAACCCUCAAGCCUAGCUUGGUGUUGAAGUAUGCCUUCUGGCAGCUUUUAAAAUCAGUGGCAGUGCCUUCUGGCUCUAAGCGUAGUAACUUCUCUCGCUAUAGGGUUUAGAGGUCCGCUCGCCAAAACCCCUAAUUUUCUAU
rnacentral:misc_RNA from 1 species